AAGUCGUAACAAGGUUUCCGUAGGUGAACCUGCGGAAGGAUCAUUAACACUUUGUUAACACCAAUAUCAACCAAAUGUGAACUGUAACGUCCCUAUUCAUUGUUAUAAACAAAUUUCGGUUUGUUUAUAACAGUGCGAUAGACAAUACCCUCUUAGUAGUUGUCACAAUAACUAAGCCUCCAUACUUAGUUGUUGUUGGCGAUGAAUAUAUUAACCAAUUUUAACCCUAUAACAUACGAAUUGUCUAAUCUUCAUAAAACUUAUUUGACUGCUCUCUCUUCGGAGAAUGUGGUUGAUAUAAGAUUUACGAAAUAUUGAACAACUCUUAGCAAUGGAUAUCUUGGGUCAU
rnacentral:misc_RNA from 1 species